AAAAGCUCAAAUUUGAAAUCUGGCUCUUUCAGGGUCCGAGUUGUAAUUUGUAGAAGAUGUUUCGGGUGUGGCCCCGGUCUAAGUUCCUUGGAACAGGACGUCAUAGAGGGUGAGAAUCCCGUAUGUGACUGGGUGCCUACGCCUAUGUGAAACUCUUUCGACGAGUCGAGUUGUUUGGGAAUGCAGCUCAAAAUGGGUGGUAAAUUUCAUCUAAAGCUAAAUAUUGGCCAGAGACCGAUAGCGCACAAGUAGAGUGAUCGAAAGAUGAAAAGCACUUUGGAAAGAGAGUUAAACAGUACGUGAAAUUGUUGAAAGGGAAGCGCUUGCAAUCAGACUUGCGCCUGGGCGAUCAUCUGGGGUUCUCCCCAGUGCACUCGUUCAGGCUCAGGCCAGCAUCGGUUUCGGUGGUUGGAUAAAGGCCUUGGGAAUGUGGCCCCUCUCGGGGGGUGUUAUAGCCCUCGGUGCAAUGCAGCCUACCGGGACCGAGGACCGCGCUUCGGCUAGGAUGCUGGCGUAAUGGUUGUAAGCGACCCGUCUUGAAACAGGGACCAAGGAGUCUAACAUCUAUGCGAGUGUUUGGGUGUCAAACCCAUACGCGUAAUGAAAGUGAACGGAGGUGAGAACCCUUAAGGGUGCAUCAUCGACCGAUCCUGAUGUCUUCGGAUGGAUUUGAGUAAGAGCAUAGCUGUUGGGACCCGAAAGAUGGUGAACUAUGCGUGAAUAGGGUGAAGCCAGAGGAAACUCUGGUGGAGGCUCGCAGCGGUUCUGACGUGCAAAUCGAUCGUCAAAUUUGCGUAUAGGGGCGAAAGACUAAUCGAACCAUUGGGGAGCGGGCGCUAGGUGGUUAAGAGAGCCUAUGGCUCUAGUCCUAGGUACGGGGCUACACUAUCAAAUUGUUCGGGGACGUCCUGCCAAACGCCUUCGGGCGCCGCUACACUCCCGCAGCCUCGGUGAAAGCCAGGUGCGCACCAGGGCCUAACAGCCCUGGGGACGGGAAGAAGGUGUAGGGGAGGAUUACCUGCAGCCAACCCCUAAGGGCGCAAGCCUAUGGGUGCAGUUCACAGACUAAAUGUUAGUGGGUUCAGGGUCUACGGGCCCUGGGUUUAAGUUAUAGUCGAACCCCUGGGCAACCAGGCGGCGAGAGGAAGGGCGUAGCGGAGGACCCCUGUCUGACAGGCCGUCACGCCCUAGAGCUCGCUGGGGGAGUAAUCCCUGGAGUCAAAGCUAGUAGCUGGUUCCUGCCGAAGUUUCCCUCAGGAUAGCAGUGUUGAAUUCAGUUUUAUGAGGUAAAGCGAAUGAUUAGAGGCCUUGGGGUUGAAACAACCUUAACCUAUUCUCAAACUUUAAAUAUGUAAGAAGUCCUUGUUACUUAAUUGAACGUGGACAUUCGAAUGUACCAACACUAGUGGGCCAUUUUUGGUAAGCAGAACUGGCGAUGCGGGAUGAACCGAACGGGAAGUUAAGGUGCCGGAAUCUACGCUCAUCAGACACCACAAAAGGUGUUAGUUCAUCUAGACAGCAGGACGGUGGCCAUGGAAGUCGGAAUCCGCUAAGGAAUGUGUAACAACUCACCUGCCGAAUGAACUAGCCCUGAAAAUGGAUGGCGCUUAAGCGUAGUACCCAUACUUCCCCGCCA
rnacentral:rRNA from 1 species